ACUGCUCAGUAACACGUGGACAACCUACCCUAAGGAGGGGGAUAACCCCGGGAAACUGGGGAUAAUACCCCAUAGACUAGAGAAGCUGGAAUGCUCUCAAGUCCAAAGGUCCGCCGCCUUAGGAUGGGUCUGCGGUCGAUUAGGUUGUUGUUGGGGUAACGGCCCAACAAGCCCGUGAUCGAUACGGGUUGUGAGAGCAAGAGCCCGGAGAUGGAUUCUGAGACACGAAUCCAGGCCCUACGGGGCGCAGCAGGCGCGAAAACUUUACAAUGCGGGAAACCGUGAUAAGGGAACCCCGAGUGCCCGUAAAUUCGGGCUGUCCAUCAGCGUAAAUAACUGGUGAAGAGAGGGCCGGGCAAGACCGGUGCCAGCCGCCGCGGUAAUACCGGCGGCUCGAGUGGUGGCCACUAUUAUUGGGCUUAAAGCGUCCGUAGCUUGGUUGUUAAGUCUCUAGGGAAAUCUACCGGCUCAACCGGUAGGCGUUCAGGAGAUACUGGCAAUCUAGGGACCGGGAGAGGUGAGAGGUACUCCAGGGGUAGGAGUGAAAUCCUGUAAUCCUUGGGGGACCACCUGUGGCGAAGGCGUCUCACUAGAACGGCUCCGACAGUGAGGGACGAAAGCUGGGGGAGCAAACCGGAUUAGAUACCCGGGUAGUCCCAGCUGUAAACGAUGCGCGUUAGGUGUAUCGGUGACCACGAGUCACCGAGGUGCCGAAGGGAAACCGUGAAACGUGCCGCCUGGGAAGUACGGUCGCAAGGCUGAAACUUAAAGGAAUUGGCGGGGGAGCAC
rnacentral:rRNA from 1 species